CCUACGGGCGGCAGCAGUGAGGAAUAUUGGUCAAUGGGCGAGAGCCUGACCCAGCCAAGUCGCGUAAAGGAUGACGGCCCUACGGGUUGUAAACUUCUUUUGUCAGGGAGCAAUUGGGUCCACGCGUGGGCUUAGCGAGAGUACCUGAAGAAAAAGCAUCGGCUAACUCCGUGCCAGCGGCCGCGGUAAUACGGGGGAUGCGAGCGUUAUCCGGUUUUAUUGGGAUUAAAGGGUGCGUAGGCGGAAUAUCAAGUCAGCGGUAAAAAUUCGGGGCUAAACCCCGUCGUGCCGUUGAAACUGAUGUUCUUGAGUGGGCGAGAAGUAUGCGGAAUGCGUGGUGUAGCGGUGAAAUGCAUAGAUAUCACGCAGAACUCCGAUUGCGAAGGCAGCAUACCGGCGCCCAACUGACGCUGAAGCACGAAAGCGUGGGUAGCGAACAGGAUUAGAUACCCGAGUAGUC
rnacentral:rRNA from 1 species